rnacentral:rRNA from 1 species
AUUGAACGCUGGCGGCGUGCCUUACACAUGCAAGUCGAACGGCAGCACGGGAGCUUGCUCCUGGUGGCGAGUGGCGAACGGGUGAGUAAUGCAUCGGAACGUGCCCUGAAGUGGGGGAUAACGUAGCGAAAGUUACGCUAAUACCGCAUAUUCUGUGAGCAGGAAAGCAGGGGAUCUUCGGACCUUGCGCUUUUGGAGCGGCCGAUGUCGGAUUAGCUAGUUGGUGGGGUAAAGGCCCACCAAGGCGACGAUCCGUAGCGGGUCUGAGAGGAUGAUCCGCCACACUGGAACUGAGACACGGUCCAGACUCCUACGGGAGGCAGCAGUGGGGAAUUUUGGACAAUGGGCGCAAGCCUGAUCCAGCCAUGCCGCGUGAGUGAAGAAGGUCUUCGGGUUGUAAAGCUCUUUCGGUGGGGAAGAAAUUGCUUCGGUUAAUACCUGGAGUAGAUGACGAUACCCGCAUAAGAAGCACCGGCUAACUACGUGCCAGCAGCCGC